UGUAGAGAGGUAUAUAAAUCCAACCCUCCUCUUAGCCGUGGUUCUGUGAAUCCUAGGUAAGAAAUUGCAAACAGGUAGGUUUGUAUUCUUUUUUUUAAUUGUUCCUAGUACAGUAACCGGAAAGCACAGUUAAACUGAACAAGGUUAGCACUGAAAUCAAUCAUCUUUCAGUGUAAUUUAUCCCUUCACCCCACCACCUAAUCGUUGUCUAUCUCUGCCCUGCACUUGUGUCCCAAUUACCCUAUUAACACUAUAAUUCUAUGGUCUACAUCACAUACUAAGCCACGAUUCCCAACUACCCCUUACUCCUCCCAUUCCUGCAGUUGCUCUCUUGAUUUAUUUACCCACCCUGCCAAAAGCUGUCUUUAUGAAUUUA